ACCUGCUCUGUGUGUUUUUAUAAGGCCACUUACUUCUACUGAGUGGAGAGAGAGAGAGAGAGAGAGACAGGAGUCCUUUUUUAAAUUUAUUCCUAUUUAACCAGGAAAGUCCGUUAAGAACACAUUUUUAUUUACAAUGACGGCCUACCGGGGAACAGUGGGUUAACUGCCUUGUUCAGGGGCAGAACAACAGAUGUUUAUUUACAAUGACAGCCUACCGGGGAACAGUGGGUUAACUGCCUUGUUCAGGAACAGAAUAACAGAUGUUUAUUUACAAUGACAGCCUACCGGGGAACAGUGGGUUAACUGCCUUGUUCAGGAACAGAAUAACAGAUGUUUAUUUACAAUGACAGCCUACCGGGGAACAGUGGGUUAACUGCCUUGUUCAGGAACAGAAUAACAGAUGUUUAUUUACAAUGACAGCCUACCGGGGAACAGUGGGUUAACUGCCUUGUUCAGGAACAGAACAACAGAUUUUUACCUUGUCAGCUCGGGAAUUCAAUCCAGCAACCUUUCGGUUACUGGCCCAAUGCUCCAACCACUAGGCUACAUGCCCCCCAGGUCCUAAAGUCCUUAAGUCUUGGGUUGCUGACUGCGUGAGAAUGACCCCUUAUUCAGACCCUCCAAAUCCUGUGGUAGAUGGAUUCAUGACUACCACAGUCAUGAUAUUGUAGCAAAUUUGGGCAGUAGCCCCAACCGGGAAUCAAACCCCAGUCUAACAACUGUCAACCCAACACCUUAGUCAACAGAUCUGAACCUCUCAACAAGGUCACCAAGGGUUAGGUUAAGGUCCCUCCACACUUCUCUAUACCGAGUCCUUCACAUGCACACGUAGCUCGGUGUUGGGUUAAGGUCCCUCCACACUUCUCUAUACCGAGUCCUUCACAUGCACACGUAGCUCGGUGUUGGGUUAAGGUCCCUCCACACUUCUCUAUACCGAGUCCUUCACAUGCACACGUAGCUCGGUGUUGGGUUAAGGUCCCUCCACACUUCUCUAUACCGAGUCCUUCACAUGCACACGUAGCUCGGUGUUGGGUUAAGGUCCCUCCACACUUCUCUAUACCGAGUCCUUCACAUGCACACGUAGCUCGGUGUUGGGUUAAGGUCCCUCCACACUUCUCUAUACCGAGUCCUUCACAUGCACACGUAGCUAGGUGUUGGGUUAAGGUCCCUCCACACUUCUCUAUACCGAGUCCUUCACAUGCACACGUAGCUCGGUGUUGGGUUAAGGUCCCUCCACACUUCUCUAUACCGAGUCCUUCACAUGCACACGUAGCUCGGUGUUGGGUUAAGGUCCCUCCACACUUCUCUAUACCGAGUCCUUCACAUGCACACGUAGCUCGGUGUUGGGUUAAGGUCCCUCCACACUUCUCUAUACCGAGUCCUUCACAUGCACACGUAGCUCGGUGUUGGGUUAAGGUCCCUCCACACUUCUCUAUACCGAGUCCUUCACAUGCACACGUAGCUCGGUGUUGGGUUAAGGUCCCUCCACACUUCUCUAUACCAAGUCCUUCACAUGCACACGUAGCUAGGUGUUGGGUUAAGGUUGAUACACUAUGAUAUAGUCCUAUAGGUGAUGUGAGGUUGGAGGUCAGAGUGCAUUAAGGAGGCAUCGUAACAAGCUGGUUACAAUGGAAUUGCCUCAGCUUUGUGUUACUAUGACGUCAGUAACAGAUGACUGUCUCUACAGCCCACUUCAUGUCCAUCAUUCUCCCUACAACCCUUUUAUAAGCUCCUGCAGCCAUGUCAUGUUCACCUUUAUGCUGUUGACAUCAACAGUUACUAACAUGUGGGGUAGGUGCCAGGGCCGAGUGGUCACCCAAAGUAACACGUUACUGAAACAGAAGCAGCAGUCUCAUGCAUAAAACAGCACACACACACAGUGAGAGAGAGACUACUUGCACAUCGUUACGACACUGUAUAUAGACAUAAUGACAUUUGAAAUGUCUUUAUUCUUUUGGAACUUCUGUGAGUGUAACGUUUACUGUUAAUUUCACUUUUGUUUAUUAUCUACUUCAAUUGCUUUGGCAAUGUUAACAUAUGUGUCCCAUGCCAAUAAAUCCCUUGAAUUUAAUUGAAUUGAGAGUGAGGAGGGGCCGAGGACACAGAUCUGAAACGUAACACCUGUGCACAGACACCCUCAGGUGGCAAAGCCUCCAUAAUGAUGUGGCUAAACACAGCCCUUAUGUUGUCUACAGUUUAGUAAACAUUCAUUGUGGUCGGAAUCUCUUGAUUGUUUGGCAAAUUGUCAGAGGCUAUACAGACUCACUCACGCACAUGCAGGAAGGCAGGCAGGCACGCACCCACCCACCCACAAACAACCACACACACUUCAUCCAGUCUGAAAGGUAUAAAUCCAGUCUGAAGGGGAUAGAUCCAGUCUGAAGGGGACAGAUCCAGUCUGAAGCGUAUAGAUCCAGUCUAAAGCGUAUAGAUCCAGUCUGAAAGGUAUAAAUCCAGUCUUAAGGGGAUAGAUCCAGUCUGAAGGGCAUAGAUCCUAUCUGAAGAGGAUAGAUCCAGUCUAAAGCGUAUAUAUCCAGUCUAAAGGGCAUAGAUCUUGUCUGAAGAGGAUAGAUCCAUUCUGAAGGGGAUAGAUUCUGUCUGAAGAGGAUAGAUCCAUUCUGAAGGGGAUAGAUUCUGUCUGAAGAGGAUAGAUCCAUUCUGAAGGGGAUAGAUUCUGUCUGAAGAGGAUAGAUCCAUUCUGAAGGGGAUAGAUUCUGUCUGAAGAGGAUAGAUCCAUUCUGAAGGGGAUAGAUUCUGUCUGAAGAGGAUAGAUCCAGUCCAAAGCGUAUAGAUCCAGUCCAAAGCGUAUAGAUCCAGUCUAAAGCGUAUAGAUCCAGUCUAAAGCGUAUAGAUCCUAUCUGAAGAGGAUAGAUCCAGUCUAAAGCGUAUAGAUCCAGUCUAAAGGGCAUAGAUCCAGUCUGAAGGGCAUAGAUCCAGUCUGAAGGGCAUAGAUCCAGUCUGAAGGGGAUAGAUCCUGUCUGAAGGGGAUAUAUCUAGUCUGAAGGGGAUAUAUCUAGUCUGAAGGGGAUAUAUAUCUAGUCUGAAGGGGAUAGAUCCUGUCUGAAGGGGAUAGAUCCUGUCUGAAGGGGAUAGAUCCAG